rnacentral:rRNA from 1 species
UACAGAGGUCCCAAGCGUUGUUCGGAAUCACUGGGCGUAAAGGGCGCGUAGGCGGCGCGGAAAGUCAGGGGUGAAAUCCCGGAGCUCAACUCCGGAACUGCCUUUGAUACUCCCGGGCUUGAGAACUGGAGGGGAGACCGGAAUUCACGGUGGAGCAGUGAAAUGCGUGGAUAUCGUGAGGAACACUAGUGGCGAAGGCGGGUCUCUGGACAGUAUCUGACGCUGAGGCACGAAGGCCAGGGGAGCGAACGGG